rnacentral:rRNA from 1 species
ACUCCUACGGGAGGCAGCAGUGGGAAUAUUGCACGAAUGGGCGCAAGCCUGAUGCAGCCAUGCCGCGUGUGUGAAGAAGGGCCUUCGGGUUGUAAGCACUUUUCAGCGUGAGGAAGGUAGUGUAGUUAAUAGCUGCAUUAUUUUGACGUUAGCGACAGAAGAAGCACCGGCUAACUCCGUGCCAGCACCGCGGUAAUACGGAGGGUGCGAGCGUUAAUCGGAAUUACUGGGCGUAAAGC